AGCCACAGGUGAGGUCCAGGAUGAUUGGCAAGUAGCUAAUGUUCCAUUGUUCAAGAAAGGAACCAGGAAUAAUCUUGGAAACUAUAGACUGCACCCAAAGUCAAGAUUGAACCCAAGUCUCAAGAGUAUACAGCAAUAGCACUACCUGCUGAACAUUUGCCCAUGUUAAGAUUAAGGCCACAAACUUAUCAAUCACCCCUGCUGUGGACCACUUCUGGAGGUCCAAGAUGCCGACUUCUACAAAGAAGGGAUCCAUAUGCUCCAUGACCGCUGGACUAAUUGUGUAAAUGUAGGAAAAAUAAAUGUGGUAGGUUUUCUAAAAUCGACUCCUCCUACCAUAGGCCUCAAACUUAUCAAUCACCCCUCGUAUAUGUUGCCUGACCUGCUGAGUUCCACCUGCAUUGUAUUUGUAUAGCUCCCAUCAGGGUCUUUUACCUUUACAGUUUCUUAACUUUACCCACAAGGAUUCUAUAUCUCAUCCUUAGUCACUUUCUAAGAAUUUGAUUUCAUUUUUUUUUUACCAAUUGAGCCCCCCUUCUUCCUACUAUCUAGUACAAAGCCCUAAUUACGUGAUUUGCCAGCACCCUAGUCCCAGUAUAGUUCAGAUGGAGCCUCUGCUAUUGGAACAGCUUCCUCCUUCCUCAGUACUAGUGUCAGUGUCUCGUGAAUUCAAACCUACUUCUCCCACACCAAUCUUUGAGCCAUGUAUUUAAUUCUUCCUACAGUUUCCACUCUCAUACUCACAGGGAGCAACUAUAUCAGACCUGUUGGGCAAGCUCAAGGGCUGAGACUUCUCUAACACUAGCUCUUAGAGCCCCCUACCUGCCUCACUCACAGUCACGUCCUUCGUCCUUGUCCACAGAACAAAUUUGAAUUGGCUAGUCUGAUGGGUGCAACUGCCUUCUGAAACACCAUACCCAGGUAACUCUUCCCCCCUCCCUGAUGCUUCACUGUGUUUGAAGCUCAGAUUCCAGAUCAUCACUUUUGAGUCUUGAGUUCCUUGAGCAACCAACGCUUGCUGUAGAUAUGGUCAUCAGGAACCACUAUCUCACAUGUCAUGCAGCUAAAUCACAACACCUGAUCCUGCAUCCCUACUUUAUUUAAUUAGUUGUAAUUUGAUAUCUCUUUAGUUAACUACUGUAUAAAAAAACUCGUCUGUUCUUAUCCAGUACUCAUUUGUGUCUCCUUGCCAAAGCCUUAGUUCUCUAUUCUAACUCCGACCAUCCCAACAAUGGUCACUCCACUUAAACCUAACUACUUUUUAUUAGCUCUUGCCAAUUGCCUAAUAACACAAUUGAUCUCAAACUUUUCAGAAAGUCUUGGUAGGCCCCUCUUGCUUUUUAGAUUUUGUGCUACUCACAAGUAAAUACACCCGCGAUCUGAAACCCAGCAGAAAGUCCUGACUGGAACACCUGCAUUUUAAAUCUGCUUGCA